UCUACGGAGAGUUUGAUCCUGGCUCAGGACGAACGCUGGCGGCGCGCCUAACACAUGCAAGUCGAACGGUGAACGGAGCUUCGGCUCCGGGAUCAGUGGCGAACGGGUGCGUAACACGUGGGCAACCUGCCCCAGACCCUGGGAUAACCCCGGGAAACCGGAGCUAAUACCGGAUACUCCGGCCGAACCGCAUGGCUCGGCCGGGAAAGGUCCGCCGGUCUGGGAUGGGCCCGCGGCCUAUCAGCUUGUUGGUGAGGUAACGGCUCACCAAGGCGACGACGGGUAGCUGGUCUGAGAGGACGACCAGCCACACUGGGACUGAGAUACGGCCCAGACUCCUACGGGAGGCAGCAGUGGGGAAUCUUGCACAAUGGGCGAAAGCCUGAUGCAGCGACGCCGCGUG
rnacentral:rRNA from 1 species